GGACGUCUCAUGAGAAAACUGCACCUCUGAUCCCAACAGGGAAAAAAAAGCCUUUCUUAUGAGUAGAAGAUUUUGUAAUAUCUAUGUUUGUAUUAAAGGCAGGUUUAUUUUAUGAUACAAUUAGAUAAGUUUUGAAAAACACUACACUACUGGUCAAAAGUGCGGAAUAAUUAUGCUUUUGAAUGUUUUUGAUAGAAGGCUCACCAAGGCUUCAUUCAUUAACAGUAAACAUGGUGACAU